UACAGAGGGUGCAAGCGUUAAUCGGAAUCACUGGGCGUAAAGCGUGCGUAGGUGGUCAUGCAAGUCGGGUGUGAAAUCCCCGGGCUUAACCUGGGAACUGCAUUCGAUACUACAUGGCUAGAGUAUGGUAGAGGGAAGUGGAAUUUCCGGUGUAGCGGUGAAAUGCGUAGAUAUCGGAAGGAACACCAAUGGCGAAGGCAGCUUCCUGGACUAAUACUGACACUGAGGAACGAAAGCGUGGGUAGCAAACAGG
rnacentral:rRNA from 1 species